rnacentral:rRNA from 1 species
AAAAACAUAACCUUUAGCCAAACAAAUAUUAAAGGCAACGCCUGCCCAGUGAACAAUUAAACGGCCGCGGUACCCUAACCGUGCAAAGGUAGCAUAAUCAUUUGUCUACUAAUUAUAGACCUGUAUGAAAGGCAAAAUGAGGAUCUAACUGUCUCUUAUAAUAAAUCAAUUAAACUGAUCUCCUAGUAAAAAAGCUAGAAUAACAACAUAAGACCAGAAGACCCUGUGAAGCUUAAAUCAAACUAUUAAACCAUAUAAUAACUACUUUCGGUUGGGGCGACCUUGGAAAAAAAAAGAACUUCCAAGACCCAGCACAGCUGAUAAAUGAACCAAGUUACUCCAGGGAUAACAGCGCAAUCUUCUUCAAGAGUCCAUAUCAAAAAGAGGGUUUACGACCUCGAUGUUGGAUCAGGACAUCCUAAUGGUGCAGCCGCUAUUAAGGGUUCGUUUGUUCAACGAUUAACAGUCCUACGUGAU